rnacentral:lncRNA from 1 species
AUGCUUAUGAAGGUAGACGGGAGAACUAGGAAAGUGUCUAAUACUUCCUUUAGGUUAUGAAGUCAUUGACUAAAAAAAAUCAUAAAUAUCACUCAGUGUCUGUUGGGGAUGCUGUUAAGAAUCAAGUAUACUUCACUGGUAAUUUCAAGAAUGCUGAGGAACAAUCACCCAAAUUACCUAAAAUACUGUGGUUUCCUUAGGUAGGGAUGAGAAGAAACUCUGAAAGUCUGCAGGUUGUGGUCUCAGGCGCAAAGGAAGUUUCUGGUCUUGUGUAACAUUGGUUAACUGGAAUGGUUACUGUCUUCUUUAGUAGGUGUGUAGUUUUCAACACCAGGUCAUCAGUCUGGGUCUAGUCAGAGGUCAGAAACCACAUCCAUCAUUUUAAUAGGGAGCAUUUAAUAGAAUUAAUCAUGUAUUAGACAAGUAAAAUGGCAAAGAGUGGACCGAGGAAUCACAGAAGUAGCUAUAGGAAGCAACUACCACCCUCAGAAGGAAGAGUUGGGGAUGCUUGAGAUGUCAAGGGUUGGGGAGGGCUGCUGAGAGCUGGGCUGACUUCUGAGGAGGGACCGGGCCAGCCAGUGCUGCUGUUGCAGGGAGUGAGGGGAAUGUGGAGGUAGGUUCUGGGACAGAGGAAAGAAAACCUACAAAUUGGAGCCAAUUGCUAUCACUGAACCCAACUGCCAGUGCAGUGCUCCCAAGAUGGGAAGCAGAGACCAGCAGUCUCAUCUCACUCUGCUAACCUUCCAGGCUCCCUCUAGCGCCCUCAUUGGCAGAGCUAACAGGGACCCUGCUCAUAAAAACAGGUGGGUGGUGUGUCAGCCCCAGCAUUCCAAACUAUUGAAAAGGCUUCAAGCUGAGACAAUAACUUAACAACCAAAACACCAGGAAGAUUUAGGCUUACAUGGAGAAAGAUUUGAAAGAAACAAAGCUGUAGCUCUGAUAUUUUUAUUUUAGGAAGGAAACUGCAUAUUUGAUGUUGUAGAUGCAUAUGGUAUUUAAGAGAAUAAGGCCCAUUAGAAUGACAGUUUUAUAACUCCACUUUAAAAUGUAUAAUCGAGUAUAAUUAGACUUAAUGAUUUUUAUGGUGACAUCUGAGUAAAGUAUAAAAACAUUUAAAAUUCUCUUAUUUAUAUAUUUAUUAGUUUCUGUGAGAAUUUAGGAUUGGGAAAGCUUUUACGUGCUGUCAGAAAAACUGAAGUACUUUAAAAAUAAAUAAAUAUAUUAAAUUUAUAAAUGCAUUCAAAAGCAUUUGCAGUGCUGAGCUAAGCUUGUAGAUAGGACUAAGCAUUAUUCAAAGGCUUCUCCAGAAUUAUUACCACAAUCUGCUAUACUUAGAGUAACAAAUUUAUAAGUUGAACUUAAAAAUGUAAAAAAGUUUUCUUAACCUGUACCUUAUAUUGAAUAUUGAUUCUAAAGACAAAAUUAUUAAUUGUAUUGUUUAUUAAAUACUUACUAAUUACUAAUUACUUAAGCUUAUUAAAUAUUAUGUUAAAGCUAAAUUUAAACAUAAUAAAAGUUUUUAAAGGUGAAAAACUAUUGAAAUCUUUCCUGGAUAGAAAUCUGUUGUCCAGGAUCCUCCCACCCCCAUUCCCUACCCCGCAAGGUUUUCCUAGAAAUGGCUAGACUAGAGCAAGAGAGACAGCUUUGUUUCUCUGCUCUUCUGGAAACCCUGAAACCAUCUCAUUUUGCAGUAGGCAGAGGAAUCAUACCCCUGACUUAGCCGUUUUGCAUCCUCAUUUUCUAUCAAGCCAGGAUAUCCUAUGGAAUAGAGAGGGAUGACCACUGGUCUUAGGGUGAAAGAACCGGGGCUGAGUCCCAGCUCCACUGCUUAAAGCGCCAAGCCUCAGUUCUUGCAGAUGGGGACACCUGCCUUUCGGUGUAAGGCACAGUGCGAGGCACACCAGGGUGGCAGCACCGAAAUCUCCCCUGUGCUGAAUCCUGAGUGCAGGGGACUUAGGACAAGAAGUUGCUUGCCCUAGCACACAGGCCUGGGCUGCUCCCUCUUACUUCACGGCAGGAGGGUUUCUUUAAGGAGGUGGCCCUGCAACAAACAAGGGCUCUUCUCUCCCUCAGGCACAUGAUCCAGGCUCUGUGAAAUUCCUCAGUGCGUAAAAGGGACAGGCCAGGAAAGAGGUGCCUGGCUCAGGAGCAAAGUAGCAGCCCUAUGGGACAGGGGUAGCUGUCUGCAGGGCCAAGGCAGCCUCUGGAUAGAGCAGGAAGGGGCAGGGCUACAGAACGGCCUCAGACCUGGCCCCCACCUGUGCUCACAGUGUCACCUGGCCAUGCAGCCUCAGUUGAAACAUGCCUAGAGAGCAUCAUGGGGAUGGUUCCCCACCUAGGGAAGAAAGGCUAGGGGGUGAAGGUCCUCUCUGAAAAUACCUGGGAGGGAGGGAGCAGAGACCAGAAUUACCACCAAGCCGUUAAUUCAUUCAAUGCUAAUGAUGUUGAACUUUUUCUGUAUUGCUAGGCCCCAGGCACACAAACAGAAAUCCUAUAGUCCUCACCUUCCUAGGAUAGCACCUGAGAGUACAGAGGCAAAAGUAGCUCCUUUUACCUGGAUGAGGGAGAGGGAGCAGCCGGAGCAAGGCGGAGGGUAUGGAGGCAGAGGGCAGUCUCCUGGGGCGACAAAGUCAGAGAGCAGUACAGGAGGCAGGAAGGGCAGGUGGGGAUCAGCUUGCGGAGGACUGUGAAGCCAAGUUUAGGUGUGUGGAUUUUAUUCCAAACCAGGGAGAAGUUUUAAGCAGGGAUUGAAUUUUAGGAAGAUCAGUUGAGGGUGUCCAGAGGGAGAAAUGGAGUCUGGAGACCAGUAUGGAAAGUACCAAGUUGUAGAAGUGCGGACAGGGGAUGAUGAGGGCCUGACAGGCGUAUGAGAUGGGAAAUGAGAUUUGAGUGAGGGACUCCAGGAAUUGUGGUCACCAUAGGAGUCCAGGCCAGGGAGUAGAAGUUGGGCUUAAAGACCCCUGGGCCAGGUGGUAUAGCACCUGGACAUUGAAACCAGCACCCACCUGCCCGGUGCAGCCUCGUCUUCCCUGGGGUCCUCAGCAUGUCAUGGGGCUGGCCUUUUUCCCGCUGAGACAUCAGCAGAGGCAGUUCCCACAGAAAUCUUGAGAUAAAGAUUUUCCAGGUGGGCCCAGUGGGAUCCCAGGCAUCUUUAAAAGUGGAAGAGGGGGACAGAAUGAAGGUUGGUGAUGUGAGAGGGAUGGAGCCCAUCAUUGCUGGUGCUGAAGAUGAAGAGGGCCAUGCACCAUGCAGUUCGGGCUGCAGCUAAAGUUGGCCAGGAAGGCAAGGAAGUGGAGUCUCCCUCGGAGCCUCCAGAAAGGAACGCCGCCCUGCCAGCACCUCGGUUUUAACCCAGUGAGACCCAGGUUAGACUUCCAGCCUACAAAACUGUGAGAUGAUAUGUGCGUGCUGGUUUAAGCCACUCACUCAUGGUAAUUUGUUCUGGCAAGGAGCAGGAACAAAAGCAGAUUGUAAGGCUGACUCCUCCUGUUCAUUCAGGCCUCAUCUUAAGUCACCUUGCGAGAGCCCUUCUCUAGUCACCUGGCCUAGUCACUGCAUUUUGCCAUUUUCUUUCAUCUACUGUUGUUCAUUAUUUGAAAUGCUUGCGUUGACCUGAUUGCCAGCCUUCUCCCAUUUGAAGCUAAGCUCCAGGAGAGUGGGCACCAGGUUAUCUGGUCCACCUCCAGCACCCAGAGGCGCUUACAGUGCAGGGGCAGUUCCAUAAAUAUUUGGUGGGAAGAUGAGUGGCGCACCAAUGACGUGCCCGCAUCCGAGGCGGAACACUCAGGGUUCAUAGUUCAUAGCGCCAGCCUCUGAAGGCGCAACAAAAAAGUGUGAACACCCUUCUCUGCCUCCGGGAUUUUCAGUCAGUUCAGGUCACACCUCUUUGAAAGUGCUUACGAAGCCUUCCGAGGCCUCAGGCUAACACUGCACCAGCCCUCCCAGAAAAAUAUCUAUGGAGAGCAAAAUAUUAUACAUUGCCUCUGCCAAACAGAACCAGAGGAUAACAUAUGCAGACAGUCCACGAGUAAAUACGGAAAGGGCUUCCUCCAGGUCACACUCUGAAAAGAGACCAACCUGGCUUCAGAAGAGGCCUUGCCUUCUCAGACUUUGUUCGGUGUUGUCCAAGCUUCUCCACAGACAGGCUGUUUCUCCAGGAAAUGACUUGACCAUCCAGAGGAGGAUGGCAGGCAAGGCCCAGCGGAGAGGGGCUGAGGUCAGGCUGCUGCCUAACCCUGUGGGGGGGGACAGGAAAAGGGACACGGAGGCAGGGAAGGCAGGCUCCUCACAUAGGAUGCAUAAAAGAUCUAACAGGGACCUGCCACACUUGCAAAUUCAGUCAAGACAUGCAGCCUGGGAACAGGGUAACACAUACAAAAUGAUAUUUAUUGAAUCCUUUUUGGUGGAAAGAUUUUUGGUUUCUGAGCCAUUGGAGUUUAAGAGUCGUGAUUGUUUCCUGUCAUUAAACCUCAGCCACAGUAAGAUCCUAGCUUAAAUAAUGAAAAUGAAUCUUUAUCUUCUGAAGGGGAGAGAAAGUGAUUAACACAGUACCGCUGUCACUCUUGGAGUAGCUCUGAUGGCUAGAAUGCUUAUAAACGUCAACAGAGUUUUUAUGUGUACAGUGUGAGAUAGUUACUGGACAAAUAUGAGGGUGUACAUCAAAGAUAAAUUGUAAACUGGCCAAUAGUCAUUAGCAAAUAAGUACGUUGGGUCUGUACUGACACUCCCAUUCUCAACCUAAGAGCUUACGUGUUUUAACUGCUGUCCUUAUUGGGGCAUUUAGUAUUUGGAACAAGCAUUUAGGAGUUCUUGUUGUAGCUCAGUGGAAACAAACCUGGCUAGUAUCCAUGAGGAUGUGGGUUAGAUCCCUGGCCUUAUUUGGUGGCUUAAGGAUCAGCAUUGCUGUGAGCUGCGGUGUAGGUCACAGACAUGCCUCAGAUCCUGCAUUGCUGUGGCUGUAGCUGUGCCAUAAGCCAGCAGCUUCAGCUCUGAUUCGACCCCUAGCUUGGAAACCUCAUACGUUGUGGGUAUGGCCCUAAA